rnacentral:rRNA from 1 species
UACGUAGGGGGCAAGCGUUGUCCGGAAUCAUUGGGCGUAAAGCGCGUGUAGGCGGCUGAGUAAGUCUGCUCUGAAAGCCCGGGGCUCAACCCCCGGGAGGCGGGUGGAUACUGCUCAGCUCGAGUCCGGAAGAGGAGUGUGGAAUUCCUGGUGUAGCGGUGAAAUGCGUAGAUAUCGGAAGGAACACCUGUGGCGAAAGCGGCUCACUGGACCAUUACUGACGCUGAGGCACGAAAGCUAGGGGAGCAAACAGG